rnacentral:rRNA from 1 species
GAUGAACGCUGGCGGCGUGCCUAAUACAUGCAAGUCGAGCGAACGGACGAGAAGCUUGCUUCUCUGAUGUUAGCGGCGGACGGGUGAGUAACACGUGGAUAACCUACCUAUAAGGCUGGGAUAACUUCGGGAAACCGGAGCUAAUACCGGAUGAUAUUUUGAACCGCAUGGUUCAAAAGUGAAAGACGGUCUUGCUGUCACUUAUAGAUGGAUCCGCGCUGCAUUAGCUAGUUGGUAAGGUAACGGCUUACCAAGGCAACGAUGCAUAGCCGACCUGAGAGGGUGAUCGGCCACACUGGAACUGAGACACGGUCCAGACUCCUACGGGAGGCAGCAGUAGGGAAUCUUCCGCAAUGGGCGAAAGCCUGACGGAGCAACGCCGCGUGAGUGAUGAAGGUCUUCGGAUCGUAAAACUCUGUUAUUAGGGAAGAACAUAUGUGUAAGUAUCUGUGCACAUCUUGACGGUACCUAAUCAGAAAGCCACGGCUAACUACGUG